AGAAAUUUCCCAGACAUGCAACAUUCUGAAUAUAAUAAAAACCUUACUGAUGUAACAAAUUGCACAGCUGCUGCUAUGAUUGGAUUUUUUAGAACUUAGAAAAUCUAACCCAAACUCUGUCCUCAGGAGGCCUGCAAGAAGAAAAGAGAAGUCUGUGGUCACAAUGGUGAGACGUACAACACGGUGUGUGAGGCCUUCUCUGACCGUGUGGCUGUUGACUACCAGGGCCCCUGUCGUGCCGUAGGGGCCCUGUCAGAUUUGGGUCUAGAAUCAGUGUGUAGUGAGGUGUCCUGUCCACCAAUAUCAAGUCCAGGCUGCCACCCCAUAAUCCCACCUGGAGCCUGUUGUCCCAUAUGUGCCAGCAUGCUGCAGAUCCUCUGGAGCCAGAAGCAGAUUAACACUUUCUCAAAGGUAUGAGGGGCUUCCAGCUGAGCUGUAGGGUCCAUAGGUUUCCUCUUGCCCAUAUCUGCAGAGAUAAUCAAUCUGAUAACUCCACAAACUCAAUCCUCUGGAUACUCCUGACCUUAUUUGCCUAAGUGAAUCUUAGGCAAAUAAGGUCAGAUAUACUGACCUUAAAUUACCUGUGACUGAUAUAAACAGCUUAUAGAUUUUUUUUCUUCAAGAAGAAAAUCUAAAUUUUUGUGACUUUUUUUUAAAACCUAUGGUAUAGAGUAAGUUGCCUUUAUUAUCUUUCUGUGGGGAAACUCAGUUGUAUCAACAGCAAAGUGUCAGGCAAGUCAAAUCUUGUAUAUUUACACAAAAAA